AGGAUUUCGUCAAACCUUUUUUCAACGUUCUUAGUUUCCUUACAUUGGGCUAGAACAUGUUCUUUUAGCUCACAGAAGUUUCUUAUUAUCCAAUUUCUGAAGCCUAAUUCUGUUAUUGGAACGCACUCAUUCUCCAUUAAGCCUUGUUCCCUUGUUGAUGAGGAACUGUGAUCCCCUGUGGAGGGAGAAGCAUUCUGAUUUUGAGUAUUCUCAGCCUUUUUACGUUGUUUUCUUACCGUCAUUGUAAAUUUAUCCACCUGUCGUCGUAAUUACCGACUUUCAAAUUAGGUCUCUGAGUGGACGUCCAACUUGUUGAUUCCCAGCGCUGAAAUCUGAGCAACCCACUGUGUCGGCUAAAACAGCGGUGCCAAGACUCCUGGUGCUUUUCUGCCCGGGAAUCUCCGGUCUGGCUUCCUUCCUGGGUCCCCCUUUCAAUCAGCUGAAUGGGCGACUCUGCCUUCCUGGAGCCUCCAACAUCGACCAAAAGGGGAACCAGUUCGUUCACUCCGCACCGGGAACAGCUGCUGGCCACAAGAGUCAAGCUGGCGACCCGUGGGGCCCCUCCGCUGGGAAUCUCCUGGUCCGUGAGCAAAAAAAUUAGUCUGACGUUCUCUGUGUUUUCACUGGGAGUUACAUUCCCGAGCUGCUAGUAAUCGGCCAUCUUGAAUCUCUCUCCCCACAACUUUACCUGUUUUUCUACUUUGCCUUUCCUCCUUGAGGAUAUGAGUUUUAUAGUUAAAGCUUAGCUUUCUGCUAAACUUUUUAGCUUUCUGCUACCCAUCAGGGACCAUAACGCAGACCUAUAUUUCUGUGCCUUUGUUUUCUAUACAUUUAGAAAGGUGGCUGAAUAUAUUUAGUUAUUAAUAAAGUCAUUACUUGUGAAGAUGGAUUGCUUUAAAAAUUACCUUUAAAAAUUUUAAAGCCAUUUUGGAAACAUGAAAUAUUUCCAUUGAGAAUUUUCUUGAAAAUUAGUCCAGUGUAGUAGAAAAAAAACAUGACUUCAGAGCUAUGAAACUUGGUUUCAAAUUCUGGGACUCCACCAUUUAAUAGCUUGGACAAGUCAAAUAACUUUUUGGAGCCUCAGUUUCUCAUCUGUAAAGUGGGGAUUAUACUAAUAUCUCCCUCACAGGAUUAUACUAAUUUGUUGUGAGGAGUAAAUGAAAUAGCAUGGAAAAGUACCCAGCAGAAGAGUUGGCACUUAGUAAAAACUCAAUAAAUAUUUUUUUCAAUCUGAGUGGCCCCCCAAAAAAAUGUAGAGCACAUGUUUGCAUGAGUUGUAGCCUAAAAGCAAACACUUAAAUAUAUUCUUGGUAAAAGUGGAAAUAUUCUCAUUUAUUUUGGGUUUAAUCUCUUUCUGUGUGCCUGAAGGGAAAUGGCUUUGGCAUCUUUCCUAGCCUGGGUUUCUAAUGGGAGGCGGUAAAGAACGCAGGUCUGUCAUGGUGCUGAAAUACAUAACCACAUACAGCAAAUUGGUCUGGAGUCUGGUGUGGUUGUUGAGGUGACAUUUAUUAUUGAGAGACAAUGAAAAAUGGUGUAUUGUGCUCCAUCACAGGUACUAAACUCGCAGACUGCCUGCUUGCCAGAGCCUUUGACUCCUCGGGAGGUGGAGCAAAAGAUUUCUUUCCUGGAUGGAGCAGGCAGUCUAUGGUCAGUGUACAAGAGUUGCUAUAGCAACCUCACAGCUGUGCCCUGUCUAGCAGAAACUUUGGUAUGAUUUCAUGGAUUUUGUUCACUUAAGUGAAAAACGGAGUUGUUGGUUUUUAUUUAAUUUGAAAUUGAAAUAAUGGAGUUGGAAUUUUCUAGCCAUGGCAGGUCUCAAUUUUGAUGAAACUGAAGCCAGAAAGUGCCAGUGUUUGAAGCAGCAGGGAUACAGAAAAACAGCAAAUGCAAAUCUUGGAUGAAAUUUACAAGAUCACUUCCACAGAAAGAGUCCAGUUGUUGGAGAAAAACUGGCUGUGCAACUGACUGAACUGAGGUCUGAGACAGAAGAGCUGGGAGCUCUUCCUGGAACAGCUAAUCAAGUUUACAGCUCUGUUCAAAUGCCAAAGGACAUUUAUUACUUUAGAAGAGAGAAGGAAAUGGCACUGAAGAAAACCUUACAGGUGGCUGAGUCGGAGCCCCUUGUUGUUCAGGCAGACAUCAUGCAGAGGGAGCUAGAGAGCUGCCUAAGAGAGUACACCCCUGAAAAUUUACCUUUGCUUCUGU